GUUAUGGUUUAUUGUAUGUUUGUUUUAGUGUUUUCCUUAUUGGAUCGUGAUUACUGUCAUUACUUGAGUGAUGUUAUAUAGAGAGAAGGAGAGAGAAGGAGAGAGGAGGAGAGAGGAGGAGAGAGAAGGAGAGAGGAGAGAGAGGAGAGAGAAGGAGAAGAAAGAGCAUGAUAGAGAUGAUAGAAAGGGAUAAAGAGAGAUGUAAAAAGGGAUGUAGAAGGAGGUAGAGAGGUGUAGAGAGGGAUGUAGAAGGAGGUAGAGAGGUGUAGAAGGAGUUAGAGAGGAGUAGAAGGAGGUAGAGAGGUGUAGAAGGAGUUAGAGAGGUGUAGAAGGAGGUAGAGAGGUGUAGAAUAAGGUAGAGAGGUGUAGAAUGAGGUAGAGAGGUGUAGAAGGAGGUAGAGAGGUGUGGAGAGGUGUAGAAGGAGGUAGAGGGGUAUAGAAGGAGGUAGAGAGGUGUAGAAGGAGGUAGAGAGGUGUGGAAGGAGGUAGAGAGGUGUAGAAGGAGAUAGAGAGGUGUAGAAGGAGGUAGAGAGGUGUAGAAGGAGGUAGAGAGGUGUGGAGAGGUGUAGAAGGAGGUAGAGGGGUGUAGAAGGAGGUAGAGAGGUGUAGAAGGAGGUGGAGAGGUGUAGAAGGAGGUAGAGAGGUGUAGAGAGGUGUAGAAGGAGGUAGAGAGGUGUAGAAUGAGGUAGAGGGGUGUAGAAUGAGGUAGAGAGGUGUAGAAGGAGGUAGAGAGGUGUAGAAGGAGGUAGAGAGGUGUGGAGAGGUGUAGAAGGAGGUAGAGAGGUGUGGAAGGAGGUAGAGAGGUGUGGAGAGGGGGAUGGGAAUGGUAGAAUUACAUUUUAUCACAUACACACGUGCGACUGCACAGCUUGGAAUUACAGGUUUAACAUUUCACUCACCUAGCAUGCCUGUGUCUGUGUUUGUGUGUGUGUGUGUGUGUGUGUGUUUGGGUGUGUGUUCCAACAUUGCUCUUCGUUAGUUGAUCUAUGUUGUGUGUUUUUUGUGUGUGUGUUUGUUCCAUCAUUGCUUUUUGUUAGUUUAGGUAUUCAUUCAGAAUAGUUGGCGUUAGGUAUUAAUUUAGAGUAGUUAUGGUUAGGUAUUCAUUCAGAAUAGUUAGGGUUAGGUAUUCAUUCAGAAUAUUUGGGUUUAGGUAUUCAUUCAGAGUAGUUAUGGUUAGGUAUUCAUUCAGAAUAGCUAUGGUUAGUUAUUCAUCCAGAAUAGUUAGGUUUAAAUGUUUUUUCAAAAUAGAAUGGUUAGUUGUUAAGCUUCUGGUUAGGCUACUCUGAAGAGCUUGACUG
ensembl:lncRNA